rnacentral:rRNA from 1 species
UACGUAGGGGGCAAGCGUUGUCCGGAAUCAUUGGGCGUAAAGAGCGUGUAGGCGGCCCGAUAAGUCCGCUGUGAAAGUCCAGGGCUCAACCCUGGGAUGCCGGUGGAUACUGUCGGGCUCGAGUCCGGAAGAGGAGUGUGGAAUUCCUGGUGUAGCGGUGAAAUGCGCAGAUAUCAGGAGGAACACCGGUGGCGAAGGCGGGUCUCUGGGACGGUACUGACGCUGGAGGAGCGAAAGCGUGGGGAGCAAACAGG